GUUCCUCCCCAUGAAGAUAGGAGGGCUUGCUGCAUUUCAAGAGGUUACAUGUUUUUCAUGAUGAAUUCGAUUUGCAGCUGCCACAUCCAGCUUUCCAAGGAAGUGCCCAUUUUGACAGAAAUUACCCUCAUUUGCCAAGAGACACUGAAAUAAAGGCUCCCACAGAGAAAGAGGAUGGAAUAUACUAGGGGACUACUGGGGAAUUAACUCCUCUUGGCUCCUAGACCCGGAAAAGACCUCAGCAUCCAUCUAACCCAACAGACUCAUGAGGAAACUGAGGUCCAAGGAUGUUAAGUGACAUCCUUGGUUACACUGACUUUUGGCAUCAAGGUAUGUUUGAACCCAGAACCUUUUACUCUAGAGCCAGUGAUCUUCCCACUAAACCACACACUCUAUUGUUUAUCCUGAGAGACCUGUUAUCUAACCUUAGAAUGGUAUAGGGUGGAGAGAGAAGUCAAGUAAAUAGUCAGGAUAGAGAAACUGGAUAGGUCCCAGCUUCUUCUGUGCCAGGUCUUCAAAGCAGACUUUAUUUUUGUUGGUGGUGGAGGGACUUUUCAGAGAAUCAGACAUUCUCAUAUUCAAAUGUGAGAAUUUUUUAAAAUGCAAAAGCCAAAAAUAUAGAAUUUUAAAAUCAUAUCAUUUGAAAUUAUCUUUCCAAAAUUCUCUCCACUGGUGCAAAUAAUGGACAGUUGGUACAGUUAUCACUGUCCUAUAAGAAUGACAUACAUAUGGUAUGUUUUAGUCUGCAUUCAGACUCUGUCAGUUCUUUCUCUGAAGGCAAAUAGCAUUUUUCAUCAUGAGUUUCUGAGGUUGUCUUGGAUCCCUGUAUAAAAAAUAUUGCUGGGGGGUAGGGGGCAGCUGGGCUACUCAGUGGAAUGGGAGCCAGGCUUAGGGAUGGGAGAUCCUGGGUUCAGAUCUGGCCUCAGACACUUCCUAAUUGAGUGACUCUGGGCAAGUCACUUAACUCCCCUUGUCUAGCCCUUUCCAUUCUUUUGCCUUGGAACCAAUACACAGUAUUGAUUCUAAGAUGGAAGGUAAGGGUUUAAAAAAUAUUGCUGCUACUGUUUACAAUGUUCUUCUGGUUCUGCUCACUAUAUUUUAGAUCACUUCAAGUACAUCUUUCCUGGUUUUUCCAGAGUCAUUCUGCUCAUCAUUCUUAUAGCACAAUAAUAUUCCAUUACAAUCAUAUACCACAAUUUGUUCAGUCAUUUCCCAGUUGAUGGACAACCCCAUAAUUUCCAAUUCUUUGCUGCCACCAAAAAAGAGUGUUUUAAAGUUUUCGAAGUCCUUUGCAAAUAAAAUCUCACAACCCUAGGAGGUAGGUGGUAUG
rnacentral:lncRNA from 1 species